AUGGCGGACACAACUAUUGCUGGCUACACCAUACCCAAGGAUAGCCACAUACUUUUAAGCCGGCUUGGACUUGGCCGCAAUCCCAAGAUCUGGACUGAACCACUGGAGUUUCAGCCUGAGAGGCAUUUGAACACUGCGAAUGUACUUCUCACUGAUCCAGGCCUACGUUUCAUUUCAUUUAGCAGUGGGAGGAGGGGUUGUCCUGGGAUUUCACUUGGUACCUCUAUGACAAUGAUGUUGUUCGCAAGGAUGUUGCACGGAUUUACUUGGACAAAGCUUCCCGGCGUUAAGAGUAUCAGUCUCCAAGAACGCAAUGCGGGUCUUGCACUAGCUGAGCCCCUUGUUCUGCAAGCUACACCCCGAUUGGCUGCACAUCUCUACAUAUGA
rnacentral:rRNA from 1 species